rnacentral:tRNA from 1 species
CAAAAGAUAGUUUAAUGAUAGAAUCCUGGCUUUGGGAGCCAGGGGUAGAAGUUUGAGUCUUCUUUUUUUGA